rnacentral:rRNA from 1 species
AACGAACGCUGGCGGCAUGCCUAACACAUGCAAGUCGAACGAGAUCUUCGGGUCUAGUGGCGCACGGGUGCGUAACGCGUGGGAAUCUGCCCCUUGGUUCGGAAUAACAGUUGGAAACGACUGCUAAUACCGGAUGAUGACGAAAGUCCAAAGAUUUAUCGCCAGAGGAUGAGCCCGCGUAGGAUUAGCUAGUUGGUGUGGUAAAGGCGCACCAAGGCGACGAUCCUUAGCUGGUCUGAGAGGAUGAUCAGCCACACUGGGACUGAGACACGGCCCAGACUCCUACGGGAGGCAGCAGUGGGGAAUAUUGGACAAUGGGCGAAAGCCUGAUCCAGCAAUGCCGUGUGAGUGAUGAAGGCCUUAGGGUUGUAAAGCUCUUUUACCCGGGAUGAUAAUGACAGUACCGGGAGAAUAAGCUCCGGCUAACUCCGUGCCAGCAGCCGCAGUAA